UACGGAUAAAGGCAAACUGUCCGAAAGGGCAGGGCGCAAAGCCUGGGCUUAAAUCUGCAACAGCAGUAAAGGCGGUAAGGUUGCCGAA
rfam:Desulfobacterales bacterium S3730MH5 k99_1736557, whole genome shotgun sequence.